rnacentral:rRNA from 1 species
UACGGAGGGUGCAAGCGUUGUUCGGAAUUACUGGGCGUAAAGCGCGUGUAGGCGGCUUGGCAAGUCGGGUGUGAAAUCCCGGGGCUCAACCCCGGAACUGCAUUCGAAACUGCCUGGCUGGAGUCCCGGAGAGGGUGGUGGAAUUCCCAGUGUAGAGGUGAAAUUCGUAGAUAUUGGGAGGAACACCAGUGGCGAAGGCGUCCUCCUGGACGGUGACUGACGCUGAGACGCGAAAGCGUGGGGAGCAAACAUG